UACAGAGAAUUAUAUAUAGAUAUAGAUUUGCAACGGAUUUGCAAUGGAAUCCUGAAAAAAGAAAACUCUCGCAAUUUCAUUGCAAAUUUGCGAGAGAUUUGCAACGGAAACUAGGUCAAUAUAUAAACACAUUAACCUAAUCUUCUUCUUCAGUUCUGCCGUCAAAGUAAAAAAAAACAUAUUUUUUUUUCUUUUCUCUCCUCCCUUGCCCUCCUCCUUGCCUCCAUAUCUCCUUUCGCCAGAGCUCCUGACGACGCGCCGGAACCCUCACCGCCAGCUCUCCUCUCUCUCUCUCACUGCCGGAUCUAUUUAUCUCACGGCCACAGAGCUCGUGCGACGCUCGCUACACUACCACCACCAAGGUCCAACCUCUAUCUUACUAUCUCUCUGUCCCUCUGUUUCUCUGUUUCUCUGUUUUGAACUGAUUUAGUUUAAGGGUUGGAGGAGGCAAGGCAAGACGAGGCCGGAACCACACCACCACGGUGAAGGAUGGAGAAGAAGCCUGAUGGUUAAGGUGACAAGGCCAGCCAUUGUCGCCGUGGGCGUGGUUGUGCGGCAGUCGCAGUGGUGGUGCGGUGGAGGCGGCUGACUAUCUUCUAGGGUUAAGAGUUUUUUUUUACAAUUAGGGUUGGUUAGGCUUAAUUAGGUUUGUUUAGAUUUAGUUUUAGGUUUAGUUAAACCGGUUAAAUUAACUAAACCAGUGUAUUAUUUCUUUUUUUUUUUAGGAUUUUUAAUAUAUCCAUUCAUGUAUUUAAAUAUGUAUUUGUAUGCAUAUGUACGUACUGGUUUCAAUAUAUAUAUUUUAUAUAUUUAUUUGUA